UUUCAGUCCGUUGGGGCCAUGCGUGCAAAUUUUGACUGGAAAUGUGGUGAAUGUGAUAACUUCUGAUGAAGAGUCGGUCAGCACACCUCUACAGUCCUGACCUGAUGCUCACAGAGAAACUCUGCAGGCAGGUUAAAACAACACAGCAGCUUUCUGCUGCGCGGGAUCAGAGCAAAGUCAAAAUUGGAUGAAGACAACAGAAUGCAUCAAAGAUGUAACCUUACCAUGUGAUCGUGGCCAAAUUGCCAUCUGUGGGAGCUGCGAACAAGAUGGACUUCAAGCUGUAAGCCGGGUUGCCCGUUUUGCUUUGCUGCCAUUAAGAUAGAGGCUGACUGCAGGUGGAGACUGUGGCCUGCUCAUGUGUUCAAACAAGCACUCGAGGUGGAAAGCCAAUAAGGGCUCUCAUCCCUGUUUUCACCACAGUGCCUUGUGUUGGCUGAUUGGGGCACCUGCAGCAUCAAGAUGGAGCCUGCAUGCUACAACGCUUUGAUGAAGCAAAUAGCUGGCAGGAAGAUUUAAAAAAAAAACAUCAUUUAUGUUUUUCAGAGAAUUUUGGAUCUUGAAUUGUGAUCUACAGCAAAUACCACGUUUUCUAACUUGAAAGAAGAUACACCAGAUCAGAAGUUUUGUCAAUUUUCUCUUAUUUAUUACAAACUCAAUGCCUUGUGAAAGUAUCGACUGUAAACCUUGAACUUUCACACAUUUUAUUUGUGAAAAACCUCAUAUUUUUAAUGUGUUUUAGGUUCUUUACAUGCCAGACCAACACAUAAAAACUAAAAAAUCUUCA